UAGUUAUGCUCCGGAAACGAAACGUGACGGACGGACGGAGCCCGUUUUUAUAUCCCCCGCCAACCUUGUUGGGCGGGGGAUAAUUCUAAAUAGUAAUACUUAUUUCAUUUUUUCCUCCAGAUACAUUUCGGUUGUCAUCCACUUUCUGUGGAGACUGCUGUAUGUUCCUGUACCAUAAGUUAGAGUCAGAGUUGUGGCCACAUCACAGGUGUUAUGUACCUGAUAGCAAACUACAAGUGUCUAAAAAUUGGUGUUGCUGCCAUUCCAGAUGAUGUCUGCAAAACUUCACUUCCCCAAACCUGCAUCUUCCUAGAGGAGAAAGAAUUAAGGGAGCUCAGUCAGAUGAUAUAGUUGUUUAAGAGUAUGACACUGAGAACCCUACUCGUGUCACUAAAGGUGUCCAUUCUAACCUCUACAAUCCUUUUUUCAAUCACCUCUACCACCAUAAUUCUAGCGAUAACAAACCAUUUUAGAUAUUCGUGGUCCCUCCUUCAGAUAAGCACUUCUUGUACAGUACCACGCUGUUAAAAUCGUUUCAGAUGCAUCCACUGCGAGCAAAUCAGUUAGAAUCUAUAUUUGAACGAGGCGCCAACUCAACAUUACGCUUGAAACAUGACUUGGAUCCUGAUUUGGUAUACGACGUCCGAGUAGAGCAGGGAGAGAACCAGUCAAGCUGCUAACGUCACGUGAUGCUAUGACAGUCUCGCGAGAUUUAUGACGUCGCCUUGACGACACUUUCACUACUGGCAUCGCCAUUGUUGAUGUUAUACUGCUGUCGUAUUGCUACUUACCUGCUGCCUUUUGCCUUGUAUUGUUCUCAUCUCCGCUUGUGAAAACCAUGAGCGCAUACACCCAAGCUCUUGACCUCGUGAUCAGGUUCCCUUUGAACUUUGACAUCUGGGCCCCUCCUCGCCAAGUGGGUGUCUUAGGGAAUCAGUAAUUUACUGUUAUUGUAAUUAAUUACUAAUAUGUGAUACAAAAUAUAUUCUAUUGAUUUGGAAAGUUAUAUUCAUGAGCAUUAUUAACUACGUAUCAUUAUCACUAACGUCCUUGUAACAUCAUAAUUAUCCCCUUAUUGAUCCAUUUCCAACAACUACCCUCUUCUUCCUGUACUCCUAUCGUCUGUCUCUCUCUACAUGUCUUUCUCUCCCUCCCUGUCAGCGUCCUACUGGGAGGUACAUGACCAUCCUUGAACCCCUGUCAGAACUCCCCGUCCCUUCCACCUCUAUCCCCGACCCCGACCCUCUCUCUGCCUCCGUCCCCCGUGAUACCCCUCACUUCGUCGAUAUCAACCUGGAUGAUGACGACACCCCGACCCAGUCCUUAGUUGGAGUCUUCCUGUCACGUGUGUCUGGAUUCUUGAGGAGAGUGUUCCGUGUCAAGAUGGACGCUUAGAGUGACAUCUUGCUACCUCUUGGACCUUGUGUCAUAAUAAUUUCCUUGGAGCUUUAGAAU